rnacentral:rRNA from 1 species
UUUUAUGAGAGUUUGAUCCUGGCUCAGGACGAACGCUGGCGGCGUGCCUAAUACAUGCAAGUCGAACGCUUCUUUUUCCACCGGAGCUUGCUCCACCGGAAAAAGAGGAGUGGCGAACGGGUGAGUAACACGUGGGUAACCUGCCCAUCAGAAGGGGAUAACACUUGGAAACAGGUGCUAAUACCGUAUAACAAUCGAAACCGCAUGGUUUUGAUUUGAAAGGCGCUUUCGGGUGUCGCUGAUGGAUGGA